AUGACAAUUACGUGGUGACAUUAUUUGAGUGGCAACGAUAGAAUAUACUAGAUUGAACAUGGAAUUAUUUAGUAACAAUUUCUGGUAACACUACGUUUGGAAAAGCUUUUUUAUCAUCAUGGCAGACACGGAGCCCUCGCGCAGCUGCCCCGCUUGUCUCGUCCAGGAUCUGCGCCGGAUUGGAGCAUCGUCUGUGCUUGCAUUGUUGAAUGAACAAUGCAAGCAUAUUGCACUUGCCCGUAGGUGAUAGUGUGAGGCAGCAAGUCAUCUGGCUGCGUGUAGUGGCGUGUGUGGUGACAUCGUGAUGUGUGAGGCAGUGAAUCUUCUGCCCCCAGGUAAGUUGCUGCAUGUGGUGGUGCUUGUGGUGAUAUUGUGAGUACGUCAUUUGCAUCUUGUGUGUAGGCUGUAUUCGCUAACGUUGUCGUUCUUUUCUUCUAGGUCGCCGUAUCUGAGAGUGAGCAAGCGUGCUGCACUUGCCCGUUGGUGGAUUUGUGAGGCAGCAAGUCAUCUGCCCCCAGGUUAGUUGCUGCGUGGAGUGGUGCGUGCGGUGAGCAUCGUCGCCGUCUGUGUUGGUGAGCUGGGCACUGUACCACAAGUGCUUCGUGGGACAGUGUAGAUGCGUCAGUUUUGUUUGUGAGUGAAUCGCGGAAUCAAUUGCCGAUGGCCUUUUUUGUUGUCAAGCGAGAAGUGUGUUGCUCCAUCUAUAGCCAAAAUGUAACAGGACAAUCGGAGAUGACUGGAGAGAUGCUUCUUUGGAUGGCUGGAGUAUUGGGUGCUAAUAACCGCGCAUACGAGAGUGGCAGUGCCACAUUUUCUGUGCGAUUAUGGAUUGAUUGCAGCAUACGUCUUGGAUUCUGACACUUUUAAGGUAAUUGGAUUGGCUGUAGUUGUAGUAUUGAUUAUCAUCUUAAUGUGGUUUUCUUUUCUUUUCAUGCAUGGCUUCUUUUGUUUCAUUUUGUUGCUGAGCGUCGCUGGCAUUCCAGAAUGCGAUUUUAAAAGAGUCGCCAUUCUGGUUGCCAGUACGAGAUGCAAUUGUGCGAUUGGUUGGGGCUGGAUUUGGAUAUCUUCUUUCUGGAUUGCGCCUACUCAUAUUGUGUUUUGAAAUCGUCUAGAAGAUUUUGCAGCUCCAUAGAGAUGUCUGCACUUUCAUCUGAGACCUGGAGCUGUACUGGUGAUGUUUGUAUUUGUUGAGCGAUUUUGUUUCCUUUGUGCAUUGAAAUAAAAUCGGAUAUAAUAUUGAACAAAUAA